AGCAGGAUAGUGAAACGGAUAAUCACACAAGGUUCAUACCCUUGGAAUAAUGGGUUCGACUCCCGUGUCUGCUA
rnacentral:tRNA from 1 species